rnacentral:rRNA from 1 species
GACAGAGGGUGCGAACGUUGUUCGGAAUUACUGGGCGUAAAGCGCGUGUAGGCGGCAGCGCAAGUCGGGCGUGAAAUCCCACGGCUCAACCGUGGAAGUGCACUCGAAACUGCGCAGCUAGAGUCCUGGAGAGGAAGGUGGAAUGCUUGGUGUGGAGGUGAAAUUCGUAGAUAUCAAGCGGAACACCGGUGGCGAAGGCGACCUUCUGGACAGUGACUGACGCUGAGACGCGAAAGCGUGGGGAGCAAACAGG